UUGCGGUUAAAAAGCUCGUAGUUGGAUUUCUGUUGAGGGCGGCCGGUCCGCACUACGUGCGUGUAUCUGGUCUGGCCUCGGCAUCCUCUCGAAACUCGUUGCUGCGCUUGAUUGCGUGGUGCGGUGUUCGGGACUUUUACUUUGAGGAAAUUAGAGUGUUCACGGCAGGCAAUCGCCUUGAAUAUAUUAGCAUGGAAUAAUAAUAUAGGAUCUGAUGCCUAUUUUGUUGGUUUCUAGGUGUUAGAUAAUGAUUAAUAGGGACAAUUGGGGGCAUUCGUAUUACGGCGUCAGAGGUGGAAUUCUUGGAUUGCCGUACGACGAACUACUGCGAAAGCAUUUGCCAGGAU
rnacentral:rRNA from 1 species